GAGAGGGUAGACAAGAGAAAAGAAAAAAGAAGAGACAAAAAACUGAACAGAUGUAGUUUGCAAUACAAAGCCACAUUAAAAUCUAAUUCAUUAGAACAGAAAAAUACAUAUUUAUGCCACAAGUUUCAAACUCAAAUGCCAGAAAUCUUCUUAAACAUCAUUUAGUAUCAGCUUUGCAAAGUAUUCAUCUCAUGCUGAACUGGCAUAUUCAGUCACCUUUUCUGUUCACUUACCUAUGCUGCCGGAAAAGGACAUACUGAAGCAUGUACUUAAAUGUUCUGCUGAAUCACAACUUUCAGUACAAAGAAGGGACACAGAGCACUUGGAAGUAGACCUUUCAAGUGCUUCUCAAGGCUGGACACAAAGCUCUAUUUGGAUAUGGAAAUCCCACUCAGGACAAGUCAAACUUGUUUUUGCCUAACAGGACUCCACAGGGCAUAGAAGGUAUACGACUUAAUGUGACUGAGCACCAACUCUGGCAGUGUUCCACAAGGAAUUACAAUGAAACAUAAUGCACCCCCCCCAAAAAAUCCUAAUAAAAGAGGAGGAAUUUCAACAUCAAUCAAUAUUGCAUUUUUACAGGCUGCACUCAACUUGCACCGAAAGCAUCUCUUUCAAGAAAGCAAUAUUUUAGUAUAUGCUUGUUUUCCUUAGGUGGAGACUUGCCUAAUCAUGCACAAUAGUUGUUUUUUUUGUUGUUUUUCUUAAGCUGUAGCCAACUGUUCCUAAAUCCCAAGUAAAUUUAGCAGGACACAUACAUACACAAAUGACAGUCAUGACUUGAAAUGUGCUUCAGUGCAUACAUGUAGUUAAACACUGGGGCACAGAACUGGGAUGCAGUAUAACAACAGCUUUCUGGAGUAGAACCAAGUCAGAUCAUACAGUCAGGGUGGGAACACCAUCGUUAUGCUGUCAGUGUCAAUCUGACUGGACUUCUCAGGUCCACAAAGUCCUUCUUGACUAUUCAGUGCUGUUCCCUAACAUUAUGGGAAGUAGCAUUAUACAGCCCACUUAAUCCAUCUAAAAGCGGUUAACUUGUCUUUUUUUCUUUUCCUAUAGAAAGAUCAUUCCAGAACCUUUUGUUCUAAGAAUUCCGAACCCUAAUUAAUAUCUAAACAUGAUUAUAAACAUUCAUUCCAUUCUUCUGUAAGAACUGUCUAUUAGUUUGAUGGUUGCUCUUCAAAAGAGAAUGUAUGAGAAUACUGAGCCAAAAAAAGCUUCUUUGCCUUUGUUAAGCAAACUACUCCAACUUGACCACCUCUGCAAAACCUCAGGCUUUGCUCUAUACCUGAGCAGGGAUGAAAAACUCUGAACGAAGAUCACCAGGUGACUUUUCUCAAUAAUUCUGUGCAACCACAGCUCCCUCACCUCAGCAGGGAGGUAAAGGCAGUCCAGCCUCCCCUGGGUCACUUGCUGUAGUCUCCUCUGCUCAAUUAACUCAAGUCUUUCUUCCCCCUCUUCAGACUACUUCUGGUUGUGGUCAGCUGAAGUUUUUCCCUCAGUACUAUCCAAAUAAAAGAAUAAUACAGGGUGUGCAUUUCCUUUUCAUCACCCACAGUUGAGAGAUUAUCUGAUCACUAGACCCACACAAACAACAUUCUUCCUGCUUUGCUUCCUCUUUCUUCAGCGCCAAUGAUCCAUCAUGCAAUUUCCCCUCCAUCUUCAACAAUUCCAGCUAACUGAAGCCAUAGGCAAAGUAUCCAUUCAUCCAGCAUCAUGUAGAGAUACUUCUGACAAGCUUUCUCCCUGCUAGCACUGUUUAUAGGCUUAUGAGUAUUUCUUUUUUCCCUGCUGAUAUUUUUAUAAACAAAAGUUAAGUCUUCUUCAAAGAUACCUUAAGUCGUGCAGUACAGUAUUUCAUAUUGGAUCACUCAAACAGCACUCAACAAUCACAGACUCCUGUCUGCUUCUGGAAAUUAUGUGCAUCUUGACUACUAUCUUCCUUUUCAUCUUCUUUGUAACAUUCAUUCUUAGGUGAAAAAAUCUCAACAGCCUUACUCUUCUACUUUCUGUUCUUCCAGCUACAGCUUUUUUCCCCUUUACUUGCAUCUCCACGUUCUCUCUAAUGUUGUACUUCAUCUCUCUUUCCUUCUGUAAUUGAGCUCCUUCCCCACAUUAUGGCAAAUGACUCCAUGCUUUUGCUUGAGGGAUAGGAUGCACAGGAUCUGGUUUUAAAUAUUCUCUUAAUCAGCACGUGCCCACAAUCUCUGAGCCCCUUCUACUGCUGGCAGGUAUCUUCCCCAGGAAUGCCACAAGGUCCUUCCUUUUCUAUGAGCUCUGUCAGGGGGCACUUUUAUGGCAUUUGCUCACCUGUGAAGCUUGCUCGCUUAUUUGUCCAAGUUAUGAUUACAAUCAUUUUUGUUUUAUUGCAAGCCACAUUGUAAUGUCAGAAAAUCAUUGCAUUUUUUGCAUGUUCUGAACUGGCAGUGACGGUCAAGGUUACCACUGAGCCUGAAACGUGGUAGGUUUGGGCCCAAAUAUUAAGGAUAAUUAAAGCUGUCCUUUAUAAAAACUCUGAGUUGCUCUAUAACUUUCCCUGGUACCGAGGUCAGGCUGACAGGCCUUAGUUUCCCAGAUCCUCCUUAUGGUUCUUGUAGAUUGGAAUCACAUCAGCAAGCCUCCAAUUCUCUGGGACCUCUCCAGAUAACCAGAAGCGCUGGCAGAUUGUGGAGUGCAGCUCAGCAAUCACCCCCACCAGCUCCCUCAGCACCCAAGGGUGGAGCCUGUCUGGUCCCAUGGACUUGUGGCAGUCCAGAUGGAGGAGGAGGAGCUCUGUAACUGUCUCCCUCCAAUUCUUAUCUAUAGACACUCAACUUUAUCAUUCCCAACACCAAGCUCUUCAACAUCAAAACACUUUUUAAUAUAAAGAGCCAAACUACCACCCUUCCUUCCUUGUCUACCUUUUGAAGAGCUUGUAGCCAUCCAUCACAGCACUCCAGUCAGGGGAGUGGUCCCACCACCUUCUGGUAAUAGCAACUAUGUCAUAGUUAGCCUACCACACAAUGGCUUCCAGUUCCACCUGCUUGUUGCCUAUGCUGCAUGCACUGGUGUGGACACGCUUCAGCCAAGUCAUGUGCCUCACUCCCAGCUCAAUCAUCGUUCCCCAAGGAUCAUCUCAGGCACUUCAAGUGAUUCAGUCAAGGUGACCAAGAUGUCAACAACAGAGCAAGGAACUGAGCUAUGGUUUCCUGAGUCACAGGCUUACACCUUCCUUACCAGAACAACCUUCCUACCCUACGUGUUUGCUUUUAAUUGUACCACUGAGGAAAGACCAAGGAACUUGUAUUCCAGUUUUGCUCAAUCAGAAGAUGACAAAAUGCUCUCUAUUAAAUAAACGUACAAUAA